CGCACGAGCUAGAAGCAGUGCUGUGCCGCGCGGGCGCCCACGAGUGGCCGCCGCACGCGUGCCGCGCGAUCGCCGCGCACAUCUCGCAGGUGAUGUCGCUGUCAGUAGCGGAGCCGUUCGUAGCGCCGGUGGACUUGCAGCUGUACCCGUCGUACGCUAUGGUCGUACCGUACCCGGUCGACCUGGCGACCAUACGGGCGCGGUUCGAGAAUCUGUUCUACCGUCGUCCAGCAGCAGCGCAAUUCGACGCGCGAUACUUAGCAAGCAACGCGGAGCAGUUCAACGAGCCGCACACGCCGAUCGUGCG